rnacentral:lncRNA from 1 species
UGCAAGAGAGAUACAUUGCAGAUAAAAGCAGCAGCAAAGGAAGGCCAAAACAGCGGCCAAGGGCAAAGAGCACACAACACUGUGGCCCGCACAAGGAAAAGACAAGUCCCAACCCGCAACAGGAUCGGGAGAGAUCCAUCAGAAGUAUCAACCAGCAACAAUGAGAUGGGCAGCAAUGUAGCAAAGGAUAGGUUCAUCAACCAUCAGGC